rnacentral:rRNA from 1 species
UCGGGAAUUUUGGGCAAUGGGCGAAAGCCUGACCCAGCAACGCCGCGUGAAGGAUGAAGUAUUUCGGUAUGUAAACUUCGAAAGAAUAGGAAGAAUAAAUGACGGUACUAUUUAUAAGGUCCGGCUAACUCUGUGCCAGCAGCCGCGGUAAUACAGAGGUGGCGAGCGUUAUUCGGAAUUAUUGGGCGUAAAGGGCGCGUAGGCGGCCAGAUAAGUCCCGGGUGAAAUCCCUCGGCUCAACCGAGGAACUGCCUUGGAAACUGUCUGGCUCGAGGCCGGGAGAGGGUAGUGGAAUUCCCAGUGUAGCGGUGAAAUGCGUAGAUACUGGGAGGAACACCGGUGGCGAAGGCGGCUACCUGGACCGGUUCUGACGCUGAUGCGCGAAAGCGUGGGGAGCAAACAGGAUUAGAUACCCUGGUAGUCCCUGAGCGGGCUGGCAAGGCGCAU